GGUUGCUAUAGACUGAGCCGUUAUUUUAUUAUCUUAUCAGAUCCUGUGACCCCCAACUCUGUUGUUGACAGGAUGAACAACAGAAUGAAAGUUGGACUAAUAAAUAUGACAGCAUCAGAAGCAAUAGGAAAUGAUGACAGACCACAAAACGACCCCAGUUCUUCAUCCUAUAGACAUCUCUGAGACAAGGUAGAACGGCUGUGGGGAGCCUGUCAGGACCUCCAAGAACUGCAAGAAGCCAUCCUGUCCUCAUAGAUUUCAUCACCAUGUAUAAUCUCAGCGAUGGAUCGUGAAUUAUUGAUGGACGCUCUAAUGAAGGGGGCAUCCAGUGUAUUUAGUGACUUCAUGUGUAAUGCUGCAGCAACAACCGAUACUCCUCAUCUGGUUCGGGAGCUGAGAGAAACUUCCUCAGAUUUGGUUAUUCGGUUUUAGGAGAUUUAUCUCAGAUUGAAGGAUUUCUUGUUGUAUUUGUUUCUUGGAUUCAGCAGAUGUCAGGAAACCUGUUAUUCUGUAAUCCGUGUAAAUACACAGCAGCAAUUCUAA